rnacentral:siRNA from 1 species
AUUGCGAAAUUGGCUGAAUAUUGC